rnacentral:rRNA from 1 species
CCUACGGGAGGCAGCAGUGAGGAAUAUUGGUCAAUGGCCGAGAGGCUGAACCAGCCAAGUCGCGUGAGGGAAGAAUGUCCUAUGGAUUGUAAACCUCUUUUGUCAGGGAGCAAAGUCACCCACGUGUGGGUGUUUGAGCGUACCUGACGAAAAAGCAUCGGCUAACUCCGUGCCAGCAGCCGCGGUAAUACGGAGGAUGCGAGCGUUAUCCGGAUUUAUUGGGUUUAAAGGGUGCUUAGGCGGGUUAUCAAGUCAGCGGUAACAUCGUGGAGCUCAACUCCAUCCAGCCGUUGAAACUGAUGAUCUGGAGUGGGCGAGAAGUAUGCGGAAUGCGUGGUGUAGCGGGGAAAUGCAUAGAUAUCACGCAGAACUCCGAUUGCGAAGGCAGCAUACCGGCGCCCGACUGACGCUGAAGCACGAAAGCGUGGGUAUCGAACAGGAUUAGAUACCCGAGUAGUC